rnacentral:rRNA from 1 species
AGCGGAAGGCCCUUCGGGGUACUCGAGCGGCGAACGGGUGAGUAACACGUGAGCAACCUGCCCCUGACUCUGGGAUAAGCCCGGGAAACUGGGUCUAAUACCGGAUACGACCGCCUCCGGCAUCGGGUGGUGGUGGAAAGAUUUCUUGGUCGGGGAUGGGCUCGCGGCCUAUCAGCUUGUUGGUGGGGUAGUGGCCUACCAAGGCGACGACGGGUAGCCGGCCUGAGAGGGCGACCGGCCACACUGGGACUGAGACACGGCCCAGACUCCUACGGGAGGCAGCAGUGGGGAAUAUUGCGCAAUGGGCGGAAGCCUGACGCAGCGACGCCGCGUGGGGGAUGACGGCCUUCGGGUUGUAAACCUCUUUCAGCAGGGACGAAGUUGACGUGUACCUGCAGAAGAAGCGCCGGCUAACUACGUGCCAGCAGCCGCGGUAAUACGUAGGGCGCAAGCGUUGUCCGGAAUUAUUGGGCGUAAAGAGCUCGUAGGUGGCUGGUCGCGUCUGCCGUGAAAGCCCGCAGCUUAACUGCGGGUCUGCGGUGGAUACGGGCCGGCUAGAGGUAGGCAGGGGCAAGUGGAAUUCCUGGUGUAGCGGUGAAAUGCGCAGAUAUCAGGAGGAACACCGGUGGCGAAGGCGGCUUGCUGGGCCUUACCUGACGCUGAGGAGCGAAAGCGUGGGGAGCGAACAGGAUUAGAUACCCUGGUAGUCCACGCUGUAAACGUUGGGCGCUAGGUGUGGGGGUCUUCCACGAUCUCCGUGCCGGAGCUAACGCAUUAAGCG